AAGGAAUAUUGGACAAUGGUCGGAAGACUGAUCCAGCCAUGCCGCGUGAAGGAUGAAGGCGCUCAGCGUUGUAAACUUCUUUUGGACGGGAACAAAAUGCGGGAUUUAUCCUGUACUGAGGGUACCGUCAGAAUAAGCACCGGCUAACUCCGUGCCAGCAGCCGCGGUAAUACGGAGGGUGCAAGCGUUAUCCGGAAUCACUGGGUUUAAAGGGUGCGUAGGCGGUCUGAUAAGUCAGUCGUGAAAUCGCUGGGCUCAACCCAUGCAACUGCGAUUGAUACUGUCAGACUUGAAUCAGGUUGAGGUAGGCGGAAUGUGGCAUGUAGCGGUGAAAUGCUUAGAUAUGCCAUAGAACACCGAUUGCGAAGGCAGCUUGCUGGGCCUGAAUUGACGCUGAGGCACGAAAGCGUGGGGAGCAAAC
rnacentral:rRNA from 1 species